CAGCAGCCGCGGUAAUACGUAGGUGGCAAGCGUUGUCCGGAAUUAUUGGGCGUAAAGGGCUCGCAGGCGGUUUCUUAAGUCUGAUGUGAAAGCCCCCGGCUCAACCGGGGAGGGUCAUUGGAAACUGGGAAACUUGAGUGCAGAAGAGGAGAGUGGAAUUCCACGUGUAGCGAUGAAAUGCGUAGAGAUGUGGAGGAACACCAGUGGCGAAGGCGACUCUCUGGUCUGUAACUGACGCUGAGACGCGAAAGCCAGGGGAGCGAACGGGAUUAGAUACCCCCGUAGUCCCUGUCUCUUAUAC
rnacentral:rRNA from 1 species